GCUCCGGUAUACCAACUUGGUAGAGGACCACGGCUCAGAACCGUGUCAGUGCUGGUUCAAAUCCAGCUCGGAGCACCA
rnacentral:tRNA from 1 species